GACGAACGCUGGCGGCGUGCUUAACACAUGCAAGUCGAACGGAAAGGCCCUGCUUUUGUGGGGUGCUCGAGUGGCGAACGGGUGAUUAACACGUGAGUAACCUGCCCUUGACUUUGGGAUAACUUCAGGAAACUGGGGCUAAUACCGGAUAGGAGCUCCUGCUGCAUGGUGGGGGUUGGAAAGUUUCGGCGGUUGGGGAUGGACUCGCGGCUUAUCAGCUUGUUGGUGGGGUAGUGGCUUACCAAGGCUUUGACGGGUAGCCGGCCUGAGAGGGUGACCGGCCACAUUGGGACUGAGAUACGGCCCAGACUCCUACGGGAGGCAGCANUGGGGAAUAUUGCACAAUGGGCGGAAGCCUGAUGCAGCAACGCCGCGUGCGGGAUGACGGCCUUCGGGUUGUAAACCGCUUUCNCCUGUNACNAAGCGUGAGUGACGGUAAUGGGUAAAGAAGCACCGGCUAACUACGUGCCAGCAGCCGCGGUGAUACGUAAGGUGCGAGCGUUGUCCGGAUUUAUUGGGCGUAAGGGGCUCGUAGGUGGUUGAUCGCGUCGGAAGUGUACUCUUGGGGCUUAACCCUGAGCGUGCUUUCGAUACGGGUUGACUUGAGGAAGGUAGGGGAGAAUGGAAUUCCUGGUGGAGCGGUGGAAUGCGCAGAUAUCAGGAGGAACACCAGUGGCGAAGGCGGUUCUCUGGGCCUUUCCUGACGCUGAGGAGCGAAAGCGUGGGGAGCGAACAGGCUUAGAUACCCUGGUAGUCCACGCUGUAAACGGUGGGUACUAGGUGUGGGGUCCAUUCCACGGGUUCCGUGCCGUAGCUAACGCUUUAAGUACCCCGCCUGGGGAGUACGGCCGCAAGGCUAAAACUCAAAGGAAUUGACGGGGCCCCGCACAAGCGGCGGAGCAUGCGGAUUAAUUCGAUGCAACGCGUAGAACCUUACCUGGGUUUGACAUGGAUCGGGAGCGCUCAGAGAUGGGUGUGCCUCUUUUGGGGUCGGUUCACAGGUGGUGCAUGGCUGUCGUCAGCUCGUGUCGUGAGAUGUUGGGUUAAGUCCCGCAACGAGCGCAACCCUUGUUCACUGUUGCCAGCACGUUAUGGUGGGGACUCAGUGGAGACCGCCGGGGUCAACUCGGAGGAAGGUGGGGAUGACGUCAAGUCAUCAUGCCCCUUAUGUCCAGGGCUUCACGCAUGCUACAAUGGCUGGUACAGAGAGUGGCGAGCCUGUGAGGGUGAGCGAAUCUCGGAAAGCCGGUCUCAGUUCGGAUUGGGGUCUGCAACUCGACCUCAUGAAGUCGGAGUCGCUAGUAAUCGCAGAUCAGCAACGCUGCGGUGAAUACGUUCCCGGGGCU
rnacentral:rRNA from 1 species